rnacentral:misc_RNA from 1 species
UUUACUGUGGAGGGCCUCAAGAAUUAUAGGGACCGCCGGUCACCGGUAUCCGGUGGUCAACAGGUGACGACUCCGGUCAGCGGCGGCGUAUCCAAGAGCACUACGGGAAACACGUGGUGCGUGGCGAAUGCUGAGGCCGGUAAAGAGAAGCUGCAGGCGGCACUAGAUUAUGCUUGUGGUGAAGGAGGAGCUGAUUGCCGUCCGAUCCAGCCAGGCGCCACGUGUUACGAUCCUAACACAGUCCAGGCCCACGCGUCUUUCGCCUUUAACAGUUAUUAUCAGAAGAAAGGGCGGGAGAUUGGUACCUGUUAUUUCGGAGGAGCAGCGUUCGUCGUCACACAAGCACCAAAGUACGGGCAGUGCGAGUUUCCCACAGGAUAUUGAAGAAAGAAGAAUGGGAUUUGGCAUUUAACUGAGGAGAUUAGUGGAAAAUGGGAAUGGUUGAAUGUAGUUUUUGGUGCUUUAUUAAAUUUUUUUGAGGGGU